AAUAGAGAAUCAGAACGAAGAAUUUAUAUAGAGAGAUUAUUAUAUGGAACCGAUGUUUGCAUUUAAAAUUUAUUAAAUUCAUAUAUAAUUUUAUAAUAUAUAUAUAUAUAAGACUUGUUUGGUUCAUUCAUUUUGGGUAUGGAAUGGGAAUCGGUUUGAACAAAUCCGGUUAAUUUUGUUUGGUUCGCAUGAAUCGGUUUGGGAUUCCUAUUCCGGUCUGGAAUGGGAAUGGCCCAUUAGCCUUCAACUUGAUUCCGGUCUUUUAGCCCGGAUUGAGAUUUCAUUCCGAAAGCUACUAAGUUCUCGAAGCCCAUGUGACUAUCUCACCCUCUUUCUCUUCACCCCUUUCUCAUAAAAAAAAAAAAAAAAAAAAUCUAUCCUCUUUCAAAACCCUAUCCUUAACGCAAAUCAAUAAAAAUUUUUAAAAAUAAAUUUGAUAUUCAUUUUAGAAAACUUAUUAGAGAAUAGUAUUAUAUUUUUUAUAAAUUUUAAAUAAUAUAAAUUUAUAUUUGAGAGUAAAAUUAGUAUUAUAGUAUCCUAUAAUUUUUUUAGUUUAUACGAACCAAACAAUGAAAUGUGAAUAACUCAUUCCAAUUCCCAAUCCACAAAUAAACCAAACGUCUUGGGAGAGUGGGCCAUUCCAAUUACCAUUCCAAUUCAUUCCCAUUCUAUUAUCCAUUCCAAUUCCACCCUUUGAACCAA
rnacentral:lncRNA from 1 species